rnacentral:rRNA from 1 species
UACGAAGGGGGCUAGCGUUGCUCGGAAUCACUGGGCGUAAAGGGUGCGUAGGCGGGUCUUUAAGUCAGGGGUGAAAUCCUGGAGCUCAACUCCAGAACUGCCUUUGAUACUGAAGAUCUUGAGUUCGGGAGAGGUGAGUGGAACUGCGAGUGUAGAGGUGAAAUUCGUAGAUAUUCGCAAGAACACCAGUGGCGAAGGCGGCUCACUGGCCCGGUACUGACGCUGAGGCACGAAAGCGUGGGGAGCAAC